GAUGAACGCUGGCGGCGUGCCUAAUACAUGCAAGUCGAGCGAACAGAUGAGGCGCUUGCUCCUCUGACGUUAGCGGCGGACGGGUGAGUAACACGUGUAUAACCUACCUAUAAGUCUGGGAUAACUUCGGGAAACCGGAGCUAAUACCGGAUAAUAUAUUGAACCGCAUGGUUGAAUAGUGAAAGUCGGUUUUGCUGUCACUUAUAGAUGGAUCUGCGCCGCAUUGGCUAGUUGUUAAGGUAACGGCUUACCAAGGCUACGAUGCGUAGCCGACGGGAUAGGCGGGUCGCCCGCCCUGGAGGGUGGCCAGGGACCAUGCGCCUGCGGUAGGCAGCAGUAGGGAAUCUGCCGCAGCAGUCGAGAGUCUUGCGGAGCAGCGCGGCGUGAGUGAUGACGGUCCUCGGUUCGUAAAACCCGGUUACUAGGUAAAAACAAAUGUGUAAGUAACUAUGCACGGCUUGACGGUACCGAGUCAGGAAGCCACGGCUAACUACGUG
rnacentral:rRNA from 1 species